CCCCCACACGGGGCACUGAGACACGGGCCCGACUCCUACGGGAGGCAGCAGUAAGGGAUAUUGCGACAAUGGGCGAAAGCCUGACGCAACAACGCCGCGUGGAGGAUGAAGGCCUUCGGGUUUGUAAAACUCCUUUUCUGUGGGAAGAGGAAGGACGGUACCACAGGAAGAAGUCUCGGCUAACUACGUGCCCAGCAGCCGCGGUAAAACGUAGGAGGCGAGCGUUAUCCGGAUUUACUGGGUGUAAAGCGCGUGCAGGCGGUCUGGUAAGUCGAGCGUGAAAGCUCCCGGCUCAACCGGGAGAGGACGUGCGAAACUGCGAGGCUAGAGACAGGUAGAGGCGUACGGAAUUCCGGGUGUAGUGGUGAAAUGCGUAGAUAUCCGGAGGAACACCAGUGGCGAAGGCGGUACGCUGGGCCUGGUCUGACGCUAAGACGCGAAAGCAUGGGGAGCGAACGGGAUUAGAAACCCCGGUAGUCCAUGCCGUAAACGAUGCUAACUAGGUGUUGCGGGUAAAAGACCGGCAGUGCCGGAGUUAACGCGAUAAGUUAGCCACCUGGGGACUACGGUCGCAAGGCUAAAACUCAAAGGAAUUGACGGGGGCCCGCACAAGCAGCGGAGCGUGUGGUUUAAUUCGAGGCUACACGAAGAACCUUACCUGGGCUUGACAUGACGGUGGUAGGGAACCGAAAGGGGACCGACCUUCGGGAGCCGUCACAGGUGCUGCAUGGCUGUCGUCAGCUCGUGUCGUGAGAUGUUCGGUUAAGUCCGGUAACGAGCGCAACCCUCAUCGCUAGUUACAAGUGUCUAGCGAGACUGCCCGUUCAACGCGGGAGGAAGGCGGGGAUGACGUCAAGUCAGCAUGGCCUUUAUGUCCAGGGCUACACACACGCUACAAUGGCCGGUACAAUGGGUCGCCAACCCGCGAGGGGGAGCCAAUCCACCAAAGCCGGUCACAGUUCGAAUUGCAGGCUGCAACCCGCCUGCAUGAAGUCGGAGUUGCUAGUAACCGCAGGUCAGCUAUACUGCGGUGAUACGUUCCCGGGCCUUGUACACACCGCCCGUCACGUCAUGGGAGCUGGUCAUGCCUGAAGUCGGUGAGCCAAC
rnacentral:rRNA from 1 species